AAUUUUGGACAAUGGGGGAAACCCCUAUUCAGCCAUCCCGCGUGUAGGAUGAAGGCCUUCGGGUUGUAAAGUACUUUUGGCAGAGAAGAAAAGGUAUCUCCUAAUACGAGAUACUGCUGACGGUAUCUGCAGAAUAAGCACUGGCGAACUACGUUGCAGCCGCCGCGGUAAUAAGUAGGGUGCAAGCGUUAAUCGUAAUUACCGGGCGUAAAGCGUGUGUAGGCGGUUCGGAAAGAAAGAUGUGAAAUCCCAGGGCUCAACCUUGGAACUGCAUUUUUAACUGACGAGCUAGAGUAUGUCAGAGGGGGGUAGAAUUCCACGUGUAGCAGUGAAAUGCGUAGAUAUGUGGAGGAAUACCGAUGGCGAAGGCAGCCCCCUGGGAUAAGACUGACGCUCAGACACGAAAGCGUGGGGAGCAAACAGG
rnacentral:rRNA from 1 species